rnacentral:rRNA from 1 species
GUGGGGAAUAUUGGACAAUGGGCGAAAGCCUGAUCCAGCCAUGCCGCGUGUGUGAAGAAGGUCUUCGGAUUGUAAAGCACUUUAAGUUGGGAGGAAGGGUAGUAACCUAAUACGUUGCUACUUUGACGUUACCGACAGAAUAAGCACCGGCUAACUUCGUGCCAGCAGCCGCGGUAAUACGAAGGGUGCAAGCGUUAAUCGGAAUUACUGGGCGUAAAGCGCGCGUAGGUGGUUCAGUAAGUUGGAAGUGAAAUCCCCGGGCUCAACCUGGGAACUGCCUCCAAAACUGCAUGACUAGAGUACGGUAGAGGGUAGUGGAAUUUCCUGUGUAGCGGUGAAAUGCGUAGAUAUAGGAAGGAACACCAGUGGCGAAGGCGACUACCUGGACUGAUACUGACACUGAGGUGCGAAAGCGUGGGGAGCAAACAGGAUUAGAAACCCCUGUAGUCC